AUUGAACGCUGGCGGCAGGCCUAACACAUGCAAGUCGAGCGAGCGGCGGACGGGUGAGUAAUGUAUGGGGACUGCCCGAUAGAGGGGGAUAAAUACUGGAAACGCUGGCUAAUAACGCAUACUAACGGAUAAUCCAUAUGGGAUUAGCUAGUAGGUGGGGUAAUGGCUCACCUAGGCGACGAUCCCUAGCUGGUAUGAGAGGAUGAUCAGCCACACUGGGACUGAGACACGGCCCAGACUCCUACGGAGGCAGCAGUGGGGAAUAUUGCACAAUGGGCGCAAGCCUGAUGCAGCCAUGCCGCGUGUAUGAAGAAGGCCCUAGGGUUGUAAAGUACUUUCAGUCGGGAGGCGUUACCGACAGAAGAAGCACCGGCUAACUCCGUGCCAGCAGCCGCGGUAAUUC
rnacentral:rRNA from 1 species